rnacentral:rRNA from 1 species
AAGACCUUGCACUUUUGGAGCGGCCGAUGUCUGAUUAGCUAGUUGGUGGGGUAAAGGCCUACCAAGGCAUCGAUCAGUAGCUGGUCUGAGAGGACGACCAGCCACACUGGGACUGAGACACGGCCCAGACUCCUACGGGAGGCAGCAGUGGGGAAUUUUGGACAAUGGGCGCAAGCCUGAUCCAGCCAUGCCGCGUGAGUGAAGAAGGCCUUCGGGUUGUAAAGCUCUUUCAGUCGGGAAGAAAAGGUUGCGACUAAUAAUCGUGAUCAAUGACGGGACCGAAAGAAGAAGCACCGGCUAACUACGUGCCAGCAGCCGCGGUAAUACGUAGGGUGCGAGCGUUAAUCGGAAUUACUGGGCGUAAAGGGUGCGCAGGCGGUUUUGUAAGUCAGAUGUGAAAUCCCCGGGCUUAACCUGGGAACU